AUGAAGGUGAAGAUGCAGACAUUUCCAGACCUCUACCGCGGCCUCACUGACUGCUGCCUGAGGACCUACUCCCAGGUGGGCUUCAGAGGCUUCUACAAGGGGACCAGCCCCGCACUGAUCGCCAAUAUCGCAGAGAACUCGGUGCUUUUCAUGUGUUACGGCUUCUGCCAGCAGGUGGUCCGCAAAGUGGUUGGAUUGGACCGGCAGGCAAAACUGAGAGACUGGCUUGAGCACAUUGCUUUGUCUUUGUGUUUUAUUUGAGACGUGGUCCCACUGUGUGGUCUGGCUUGGCCUGAAGUUCACCAUCAUCCUGCCUCAGCCCCCCACAUGGGGGCGACAGGCGAUCACUCAGCACUUUCCCGAUGGUGCACAGGUAGGACAUUGGAGUUGUGUUUCUCCACACAUUCUCAGAAACAAGCGAUUGGAAAGUGCCUCACUGUGUUCCUCGUAUGGAUCUUUGAGUACAAUUAUUUCCUGUGAUACCCACAGUGUGUAGCUUUUUAACCUUACAAGUUCUUCAGUGAGGAAGUCAGCAUGGUAACACAGAAUGUUAUCUGAGCUUAGAGUCCUUCCUUUCUCUCUUGGGAGCAGUUUUGAUUGUUUAUGUUUUGGGAGAAUAUAGCCUGCAGUCUGCUGUGGGUCGGCAUGUAGGCUGGCUGUGUCUUUAUGGCUCUUAUGAUGAUCAUGGGGAGGUGCCAAUGUCUGUCUUUCAGAUAGAAAAAUAGUCACAGUUGCUGGAUCAAGGGCACAGUUGCCCGAGUCCACUGUUCCCCUUCUGCCCCAUCCUCUGUUAGACCAGCAAGGAUAGUGGUCAGAUCUAGAGGGGACAUUGAUCAGGAGCAGCAGAGGGAAACGGUGUUAACAAGCAUUCGCCGUGGACUUCUGCAACCACACCACAAAUGUUGCGUGUCCUGACUUGAACCCAGUGUGGCAUGUGGUUUGACCCGGUUGAGUGAGAUCUUACACAGCAGAGGCAUUUACGUCAUGAUUCUUGUUCUCUGCAUGGCAAACAGUACAUUCCUUUUUUUUUUUUCUUUUGGAAAAAAUUGAUAUAUUUUGAUCAUAGUUUCUCACCCCCUGUCCUCCCAAAUCCUCCUCACCGCCCUACCAACUUUAUGUUCUUUUUUUUUCCUCUUUAAAACAAACAAAGGAAACAAGAGGGCAGGAAGCACACAUACACGCAAAACCAUGAGGAAAGAAAAAAAAAACCACGAGAAAAUGGAAAUCAAAUAAACAGACCAACGCAGCAAAAAAUAUCCAAACAUCUGCAGUAGCUUCUUACAAAACCCCAUCCCACACUGCAUGCACGUUCAGUCCCAGUCGUACAGAUGUGUCCUUCAUGUGGGGCAAAGGUCCGUGUGCCUUACAUUGUGCAUUGGACGAUGAAAGCGUUUAUGAGGAAGCCAAAGUCCAUAGAGAUGCUGAUUUGACCUCUCCCUGUACACUCAAAAGGUGUUCCAUAUUCAUAUUCAUUCAGAUCUGGAACGAUCCCAACCCCUGAGGUUGAAUUGACCUCCAUGUUUAUUGACUAAUGCCUUUUUUUCUAGCAAACUUGGCACUUUCUAGGUAAUGACCCUAAUUGAGAGCUGCCGGUCAGCAGGUU
rnacentral:lncRNA from 1 species